rnacentral:lncRNA from 1 species
CUCUCCCUCCCUGGUCUGUGGUCAAUAUCUAGGAUGCAUUUAGUUUAUGAUCCGAAUCUGAAUGGAUUGGAAUAGAAAUCAUAAUGCCAUAUCAUCCGACUAUGUAGUUAGUGAUCAAAAUCAGAAUCGAAAUGAAAUUUGAAUACUAAAAAAAUAGUGGGGAUUAGAUUUUGGGGGUUGAGACAAAAUUCUCAUUUCUAUCCUAAUUUGAAAUAGGAAUUGAACUUUAUCCAACUAAAUGGGUGGAGCAA